rnacentral:lncRNA from 1 species
AAAAAUCUCCGCGACAAAAUAUAGUGUUUAUAAAAGUGCUUUUGUGCACAAUUUUCUCUGUCUCCUCACGUGAAAAAAUCUCUAGAACAAAAUUUACUGUUUAUAAACGUGCUUUUGUGCACAAUUUCCUCUGCCUCCGCGCACGAAAAACUCUCCAUGGCAAAAUUUACUGAUUACAAAAGUGCUUUUGUGCACAAUUUUCUCCGCCUUGUCGAUGCCACAUAAGUCUCGCCACGUGUAUCUACUUUUGUCCAUAAUUUUCAAGUCGUCUCAUGCUGACGUCACGUGGGUGACGUGUGAAUCCUUCGUUAGGAGGGUCGGCUGGCUAGCUAGGGUUUUGCUCUUCAGGUUGUGUUGGAUUUUCUUGGGUGCUCCUUGGAGAUCCUGAGCUGGGACUCACAGCGAAGUCAAUGAAUAGGCACAUGACUAGAGUAAGCUAUAAGUCAUUGUCAAUGGCUAUAAGAAAUGCUGUCGAUAGUGGUUCACGCUAAAUAGAUUAUAUGAUUGAUGAUUGUUGAUAAGGAUAUUGAUUAAAUGAGUCAAAAAUGAAUUACUAAUCAAAAGGCCGCAAAAAGAUUGGAUACUUAGAGGGUAUCGGGAUGUAGUUAUAAAAUUUCAAAUUUGAAAUCACUAAUGAGUGGAGCUACAAAGACCAAUAAAUCAAGGAGCAAGAAUGGAUGAGGACAUAAAUGAUCAAAAUGCAACUUCAAAGGAGCAAUCACUUGAACAAGAUCAUGGUAUUGUUAGAGUAUGGGCACAAAAUUCUCGAAGAUGUAGAGAUAUGGAGACAUGGCUACGACUACAAGAGAAUUGCUCUUACAUGGUUAUGGCAUGAACACUAUAUAUACCAUCAUUAAUCUACUGUAGAACUCGCAAGCGCACAAAAGAAAAAAAUGUUAUCUUGCAAUUACUCUUCAAUUGAUGCAUCGUAGUUUUAAUUUCCAAACUCGUGUCAUAGAUUAAAUUCUAGUGUGUUUUUUAGCUAUAGGUUUCAGAUUUCCGUCAUCACUUAAAUUCUAGCGUUGCCUCUUCAUGUUCUCAAACUUUGUCAUCAAUUAAUUCCAACAUAAUUUGUAUACAUUUAGUUCUAUUCAUAGUGGCUACAUUCUCAAGUUUUGUCGAUAUAGUUUGUGUACUUUCAAUUCCAUUUAAAGUGAAGUUAUUGAUUAUCUUAUCAAUAAUAAAAGAAUACUUUGCACAUGAUUGGUAAUAUCCGAGCCAGUGCUUACCUCAGUGAAAAAUUUUCAAGCUCAAUGAGUCCUCCAGAGAUUUCGGCUCACCGGGCCUGCUUUGGUCUGAAUACGUAUUUGGGGCCUUUCAUCUCUCUCGCUCAAUCUCAGUAUUAAUCUUAUCAAUAAUAAAAGAAUAAUUUGCACAUGAUUGGUAAUAUCCGAGCCAGUGCUUGUCCAAAAAAAAAAAAAAAAUCUCAGUAUUAAUAGUUCUGACGUCACUCCUUCAUCUCCCCCUUCUGCAAAAGCCGACAGAUCGAUCCUCUCUCUCUCUCUCUCUCUCUCCCCUCGCCCUCCAAACGUCCGAUCCUCUUCCCCCUCUUCCUCCCUCUCUCCAUGCGUUGAUCCAUCCAAUCCAGCGGUCGAUUUGUCCAUCGCCUGCACAUCGCACACGUCGUCUUUCUUCUCCCCCGGCUCGAGAAUCACGUUGCCGCGAGUGGAGCCCGUGUGUGAGGGAGAGUGGAGCCCGAGGGGUCCAUUAAGGUUGGCGGGUUUCGGGGCCUUAUAAAUGGCGGACAGGGAUGGGUAUCCACCAGGUGAAAGACGCUGCCUUUGUCUAGUGGGGAGAGGGGGGUACGAAUGGAAAUUAUCACUAUCUCAGAUCCAUAGUCACAUCUAGAUAUCGCUAUCGAUUUUUUCAAAAUUAUCAUUAUAAUGAUCAUUUAGAGGUUCAUUAUUUGAACCUACAUCUUCACCAAUACUUUUACUCUCAUUAGGAACAACGACCUUCUGAUAUUGAUAAUUUUGAAGAACUUAACUGCCUUUUUUAGAUGCGGAGCAAAAUUGAAAUUGAACUUAAAGUUGAUCUCUUUUUUCAGGAAAUUAGGCCUGUAAAUGGAUAUGCACAUGUUUAACAGCGACGGAGUUUCGAUUUGUUAAUCCUUUUUUGUCAUUAUUCAAAUUUCUCAACAUGAACUCAUGGAUUUACAUUAUGAGAUGAACCAUGGAUGGGAAUUCAACAAAGAACAAGAAAACAAGAACUCGCCAUGCUUCUUUAUUUCCAACACAUAGCACACAGCACACAGCACACAGCACACAGUACACUGAUGACACAACACAGGAACUUUCUUCUUUUCCUCGAAAGGAAGUGGCACUCCAUGUCCUCAACGGGGCGACAGUGCUCGUAGCUCCCCUAAAGGAUGGUGCAUGAGUUCUCGCUCCCCAACUCAUCAAGCUUGUACGUGCCCUUAAACUUGUCGUACAGCCGUGGCAAGAAUUUGGUCCAUUUAUGCCCCUGCAAAAUCGAUACAUGUAUUCUCUCAUGCCGUCAUGGAAGUGAGAUUAUGUAGGAAGGAAUAAGGAUGAGACGAACUAAAGACAAUUGAAUCGGAUUAUGUCACAGUGAUUCUGUCCACUUGAGGUGGUGAUUUCGUGCGGUUGUGAGAGAGAGGGUUCUUACUUUGUCAUUAGCUCCUUGCGCCAUCCUAGGGGCGGUCCUCGCCUGCAUGACAUAGUGUUCAUAGGUAAAUACAUACUUAAAGACAAUUGAAUCGGAUUAUUUCACGGUGAUUCUGUCCACUUGAGGUGGUGAUUUUGUGGGGUUGUGAGAGAGAGGGAUCUUACUUUGUCAUUAGCUCCUUGCGCCGUCCCAGGGGCGGUCCUUGCCUGCAUGACAUAGUGUUCAUAGGUAAAUACAUAAUUAAAGAGAAUUGAAUCGGAUUAUGUCACAGUGAUUCUGUCCAUCGGAUUAUGUCAUGGUGAUUCUGUCCACUUGAGGUGGUGAUUUCGUGGGGUUGUGAGAGAGAGGGAUCUUACUUUGUCAUUAGCUCCUCGCAUUGUCCCAGGGGCAAUACUCACCUGCAUGACAUAGUGUUCAUAGGUAAAUACAUACUUAAAGACAAUUGAAUCGGAUUAUGUCAUGGUGAUUCUGUCCACUUGAGGUGGUGAUUUCAUGGGGUUGUGAGAGAGAGGGAUCUUACUUUGUCAUUAGCUCCUCGCACUGUCCCAGGGGCAAUACUCACCUGCAUGACAUAGUGUUUAUAGGUAAAUACAUACUUAAAGACAAUUGAAUCGGAUUAUGUCAUGGUAAUUCUGUCCACUUGAGGUGGUGAUUUCGUGCGGUUGUGAGAGAGAGAGGGAUCUUACUUUGUCAUUAGCUCUUCGUGCCGUCCCAGGGGCGAUUCUCACCUGCAUGACAUAGUGUUCAUAGGUAAAUAUAUACUUAAAGACAAUUGAAUCGGAUUAUGUCACGGUGAUUCUGUCUACUUGAGGUGGUGAUUUCGUGCGGUUGUGAGAGAGAGGGAUCUUACUUUGUCAUUAGCUCCUCGCACCGUCCCAGGGGCAAUACUCGCCUGCAUGACAUAGUGUUCAUAGGUAAAUAUAUACUUGAACUCGAGCGAUUACCUUUUUUUCCUGCUAAUAAAGAAUUAGGUUUUCUUUUCUUUUCUUUUUUUGGGGUAUGGCAGAGGCGAAUAUCAUGUCUGGGUUUUUUAAAACUCAUUCAGCUUUCGAAAAUCGCUUUACAAACCAUACAAUUAUCUUCCGGACCAACUUACGCGAAUCACGCCUAUACAUGUUGUCUAUGUAGUCGGGGUGCAAAUCUUUUUGAAGGAGAAGAUAGUGCUUUUGAUCUUGUCAUUAGUUCCAACUCGAUAAAAGUAAGGUGGACAUUCCUCGUUGGAGGUAUUUUUUUUGAAAAUGUAAAUUUUAGUAGAGUGUUGAAUUUUCUGCAUCAUAUAUCCUUAUGAAGAAUCAAGAUCGAACGUCUAUUUAGAUUAAUUUAAACUACAAUCUUUACCUCUUGACCGCGUACAUCAGUACUGGGUUUGUCUAUCAAUAGGUGUUUAUACUCGUCGUGGCAGAGGACGUAGGAGAAGGUUUUUAGUUCCUCAAAACUGAGACUUUUGCUGCCGUCCUUGUCCAGCUUUGCGAAGAGAUUAUCAGGGUUGACAUUAUGGAGCCCGGCAACGCUCAGGAAGGUCUUGAACUCGUCGAUACUUAUGUCGCCGUCCUCGUUCUUGUCCAUGUUGUUGAAGAGUCUCGUCGCCUCCUCCUUCUGGUCAUCCGUCAAGCCAUCGUAAUGAGCAGAUGCAGCCUCGCGAAGCUCUGCUAUAUCUAUGUCUGCCAAGACGGGCUUACUUAGCUUGGUCGGCUCGGUCGGCUCGGCCUCCAGGUCCUCCUUCUCUCUCUCCUCUCCAUCUCCACUGAAUAUUUUCUCCUCCUCCUCCUCCUCCUCCUCCUUUGCUGUAUCUAUGUCUGCCGAGACGGGCUUACUUAGCUCGGUCUGCUCGGUCGGCAAGGCCUCCACGUCCUCCUCCUCUAUCUCCUCUCCAUCUCCACUGAAUAUUUUCGCCUCCUCCAAGGACUCGGCCAUCCCUCUCCCCCUCUCUCUCCUUUGCCUUUCUCUUUGAGGAUGUGUGCAAGUGCUGUUUCUGUGGAGGUUAUUGAAGUAUUUAUAGAAAAUUACAGUCGAGCGUUCCAUGAGUUACACGCACAAAAGAAAGAAAGAAAAAUAUGUGAAUGAUUAUUAGAUUUUUAAUGUGUGUACGAUCAAUGUGAAUGCAUGUGAAGCACACAGAGAGAGGAAGCAAAAAAAUUCGUGGACUUCAAUUUGGACGUACAAGUCCCUACAUUUGCUAAGAGCAAUCUUACAUGGGCGAGCAAAUCUUAUUAAAACAUUUUUUUUUUGGUAAAGUAUUUUUUUUUUGGUAAAGUUAUUAAAACAUUUUUAUUAUGUGAAAGAGUUAAUUUUUUCAUUGGAUAUUAAAAAAAAAAAAAACUUAUAGUCCAAUGCAUGAAUCCCACCGAUUUCAAUAUGAUUGAAACUUUCUAAUAUUUUUAUUGCCCCCAUCUAGUGACUUGUUGGACAUCUCAUGAGUCACGUCAAUUGAUUAAAUCCAAGCCUUUGACAUUUACGGAUGAUUAUGACUAAGAAUAGUUAAAAUUCAAUUAGUGAUAUUCGAACUAGUGAUUUCUAAUUUUUAAGCUGAAAAUCUCCUAACGUUAUGACCAAGAAUUCUCUUUUCCUAACUAUUUUGUUCUCUGAGCAAUGUCCAUAACGGUAUGUGAGUGAAGAGUACUAAUUCAAAACCUUGAGAAAACUAAGAUAGUGUAGGGGAAUGUGCAUCAGGUUGAUUCAACUCGAGAAUCCUUGCUUGGACCUAUUAGUUUAAGAUCAGUGCUAAGGAAAAUUGGUUUGGUUCCCAAUACUAACUUGAGAAAUUGAGGGGCAAAUUGUUCGAGGCGAAAUCAAUAAAUGCCCGUAGGACAGCGUUGGCUUCUUGACGGGGCCACCAAUGCGGACAAUUACACACGUCAUAAAAUCUUUGCAAUUCCAAUAAUUGAGGUCUAUGCCUAUUGAAAUCAUUAAAAUUCAAGACAAGACAGCACUGACGUGCCUUUAAGCCUGUUCCUAAUUAAAUCGGUUUUGCAGCAUCUUUAAAAGAAUAAAUAUUUUUGCACCCAUAAAAUCGAACCAUUCUCUUCAACAUGAACAAACAACAAAAUAAUCACUUGACUAACAUAUAUUUUAUAGCAAAAUUAUUCAACUUUUAUAUCAUAUCAUAUAAAUUAUAUUUCUACACAAAAUAAAAAUGAACCAGUUCUCGAGUAAAUUCGACAAUAGAGCCGCAACUGGUUGGAAAUCAACCCACCCGUGUUGGAAAAAUAUCUUUAAGUGAUUUUGAUAAUGUCCAAACUAUUAUCAGUAUAAUAUUUACUGUGAAAUGUGUAGAUGUUCAUACCAAAAGAUUGCAUAAUAUCCAUGGUGUAAUCCAAUGGAAGGAAGUAUGUCAUAAGUCCCGAUACAAUAUUUCCGUAAACAGUAUAAGUGGACUUGAAGAUAAACAAAUGUCUAUGUCGAAGUUGUAAAUAUCAAGUCUUUGGUGCUAUGGUUACCUCGUACAUUUAAUGACGUUUGUUGGAUUAGCAAAUUAGCUGUUGAGGCUUUGGAAUCAUCCAAUAGUAGAAUCUAGAUGAGACCAAUAAUCAAGAAGUUAGGUUGUGUGACAGGUUUGUUAGAGACUACAUCGAAGGGACAUCAACACAUGCUAUUUGUAGGUAGCGUGCAAAUGUUUGGGAAAAAAGACUGCAUGGACAGUUGUAUCUCUGGAUAGUAGCUCAACGGUUAUUCUAACAGCUCUCUGCUUCUUCAGUUUGCCUCCAACGGAUGGAUUGAAGAUUUGUUACAAAGAGCAACAUACCAAGAUCUAAAGAUUUAUCGCUAUGUUCCAAGCGAUACGCUCUCUUUGAACUAUUCUUUUAGCAUUGUAUUCGUGCUAUUUAAGUAAUUGUGCUAAGUAUUAAGUGGACAAGAGCAAGAGCAGCAUGUGAUCUAUCUUGUAAAAGGAUUAAUACUUACUAUUGUAACUUCCUCAGCAGAUUACUAGUCCAAUCUAGCUCAAUUUGUAGCUAUUAGUCUCAAGAGUGGACAUGGGCUACGGGAUAGAGCCGAACCACUAUAUUUCGCUCUUACUAGCACACGGUUUCAACAUUACAUUGACCUAUUCUUUACUUAGCGCCAGUUAAUUUUCACGAAAGAUUGUUAAGUUUUCUAAAGCAACCUAUUCACCCCCUCUAGAUUGUAUUGUUAGCCCCCAACAAUACAAACCCAAUCACCCUUGAGAUAGAGGCAAUCUAGAAAACUCACAUUAAUUUCCAAUUAGCAAUGAAAAAUUGAGAGCACACAGCAUGAGCCUUCAAUGAUUAAUUGCCAUAAUUCACAAUUUUUGUGUUUAGAUCAUGUAGGGAUCCAACUAUAGGAUUAUUGAAAUUUCAUACUUGACAAUCUAUAUAGUCUAUUAAUCUCGAGGAGGAGAUAGAGAGUCAUUUCAAAAUUUGGGAACAAUUCACUUUAAGAUAGAGUGAAUUUAAUGACUAUUUUCUCAAGCCAAUUCCAAUCUCAAAUUUCUUUCGAGUUUCAUAUAUUCAAAUGAAUCUCAGAGUUGAAAACUCUAUGAUGAAACGGGAAAUAAAUGAGUCCUUGAAACAAUAAGUAUCCUCUUUCCAAUUUGAUACCAAAGCCUUUUUCUUGUUGAUCUUAAAAUAUUUUGUGGAUAAAUAAGUCUUUUUAAUCCUUUUAUAUGAUCGUCUUCAAUUGCUUCGAUCCAGACCGGGAAGCUACGUAUUGUAGCUGGGGAGGAAUCCAAUAUUUUAACCUGUUAAAUACAAGUGUGAAAAAGAACAGAUGGAGUCCAAGUCAAAGUCAUGCUUGGGAUCAAAUCGACCUGUGUUACAUUGUAAGGACUAAGCGACAUUCUCCUCUGCCCUUUUUGAAAAAUCAAUGAAGAUUCCACCACAAGCCUCGUCUGCAAUAAUAGUAUAAAGCAUAGCUAGCAGACAUGAAGAUACCACGAGAUUCGGUGGGUUGUUCUGUCUCUCUCCCCAGUUUCCAAGAAAUCAGAGUGCGAUUAUCCUUAUUCGAAUUUAAGCGCCCGCGUAGUUUGAUCCAGGCAUGGAAAAAUGAUGCCUUAUUCUGCGAUGCUGUAGAGUCCAGGCCAAUUUCGAUUCAAAGAGGCCUAAAUUAUUAGAAAAACCUCAAAUUUUAAGUAUUGUCGCAAUUCCACUCCAAUUCUUUUUUUAUCUGAGAAAAAAAUUCAAUUUUAGAUGUAGCCCCAAAUCUAUUUCAAAAUUUAGAUUUAGUCCUAAAUUUAUCUCGAAUUUUGUUUUGCCUAAAAAGAUCACUAACUUUUAAUCUAUCCUUAAAUCAACAUUGUGGUUAUUCCUAAUUGGGCGUGGUGUUUCCACAUUGAUGACAAAUCUACAUUGAUAAGGCGACAUAGAAAAUUAUCUUCAAAUUAAAACUACUCUAGGAUAUAAAAAUUAAUGACCUCGUGGUCAUUGAAGUGAUGAUUUGUUGCUAUCGUUCAAUUAAUAAUAUAGGUAAAAGUUGAGUAGAACUUGAAAUCAACUCUAGAACCCAUGACACAAUAGGUUCCAAGGUAUGUAGGAUAAAUUCCAAAUUCAAAAAUAAGAAAUUUGUUUCAGUAGAUAGGUUCCAAGUUCGAUGUGACAUAUGUAUGAAAAUUGGACCCGCCCCUAAUUGAUUUACCUCCAAAGACCUACGUGGUCAAAUUUCCAAAGAAAAUAUACAAGUUUCUCCAUGAGAUUAGAAUCUUACGUAUUGAACGAUUGCAAUAAAUAUAAUUAAAACAUAGAUGCCUCCACAUAAUGGUUUUCAAUGCUUUAAUUGCUUGAUUCUUGCGUACUUGGGGUUUGAGUCACUAUGUGUCCUACUCAGCAUGACUUCAGCACGACGCUUGCCACCCUAAGCAUAGAGUGGUACCCAGUAUACGUGGACGGAGCGAUUGACAUACAAUCAUAAAAUUAGUCGAGUCGAGAAAAUUUCUAAUAUCUAUUUUUAUUUGCAAGUGAAAGUAUUGAGGUAUGGUUUAUAUUCGCGAUUAAUAAGAAGGCACGGAGUUCUACUCCUUGAUAUGAGGGUUUGAGGGCAAUUUCGAAAGGGUCAUAGGGAUAGCAUCUUCGUGACGUCCUUAAUUUAAGUUCAUUUUUUAUUGGAAAUUUAGAUUUACCGAUUUAUAAUAUCUUUUUAUUAUUAUUUAUAAUUGAGAGUUGUAAUAUAGAGGUGUAAUAUAUUAAUUAGAGUAAAAUUAUCAUAAAAAUUCUGAUACCUCAAUGUCUCUUUCGCUCGUUUUUAUUUUUUAUUUCUUCGUGGUGGUGUGUCGAAUUCUAAUGGAAAGAAGGGAAAGAAAAGGAAGAUAGGCAUCGUUAAAGACUUCGCGAGGACUGAGGAGCAAUCUGUCGAGAUAUUUUAUCGCUCUCGGUCUUGGUCGUCUCUAAAUUUCGUCAAUGCACGGGCCGGCGAGCGGAUGAUAUGAUUGCAAGAGGCCAAAACUGUCAGAGUGAACGAUAAUCACUUUGUUUUUUGUUUUUUCACGACAUGUCCUCCCCACUUUAAAAAAGUAAGAGAGCUUAGCAAGUGACGCCGGAGCUGGUCUCUGUCUCUGUAAUGCGCUUGCCAGCUUCGAACGAAAUAGAAAGGAUGCGUCUCUGAGGCAAAAGCUACUUUUUGCAAAAGCAUAUUAACUUUUGUGCACAAUUUUCUCCGCCUAUUUAAACACCAUCAAGUCUCACCACGUGUAUCUACUUUUGUGCACAAUUUUCAAGGCGUCUCAUGCUGACGUCACCGAACCGCUCUGUCAGGAGGAUCGGCUGACUCGCUAGGGUUUUGUUCUUCAGGUUAGGUCGGAUUUUCUUGGGUGCUCCUUCCUUGG